UACGUAGGUGACAAGCGUUGUCCGGAUUUACUGGGCGUAAAGAGCGCGCAGGCGGCCGAGCAAGUCGAGUGUGAAAGCCCCGAGCUUAACUUGGGAACUGCGCUCGAAACUACUUGGCUAGAGUGUGGCAGAGGGAGGUGGAAUUCCACGUGUAGCGGUGAAAUGCGUAGAGAUGUGGAGGAACACCGAUGGCGAAGGCAGCCUCCUGGGCCAACACUGACGCUCAUGCACGAAAGCGUGGGGAGCAAACAGG
rnacentral:rRNA from 1 species